rnacentral:tmRNA from 1 species
GGGGACGUUACGGAUUCGACAGGGAUGGAUCGAGCUUGAGCUGCGAGCCGAGAGGCGAUCUCGUAAACACGCACUUAAAUAUAACUGGCAAAACUAACAGUUUUAACCAAAACGUAGCAUUAGCUGCCUAAUAAGCGCAGCGAGCUCUUCCUGACAUUGCCUAUGUGUCUGU